ACCGGGCACAGCAGUGCAUACCUGUAGUCCCAGCUACUCAGAAGGUUGAGGUUGGAGGAUCGCUUGAGUCCAGGAGUUCUGGGCUGUAGUGCACUAUGCCAAUUGAGUGUCUGCACUAAGUUCUGCAUCAGUAUGGUGAUCUCUCGGGAGCAGGGGACCAUCAGGUUGCCUAAGGAGGGGUGAAUAGGCUGAGGUUGGAAAUGGAGCACGUUAAAACUCCUGUGCUGAUCAAUAGUGGGAUCGUGCCUGUGAAUAGCCACUGCACUCCUGCCUAGGCAACAUAGUGAGAUCCAUCUCU
rnacentral:SRP_RNA from 1 species